rnacentral:rRNA from 1 species
UACGUAGGGUGCGAGCGUUGUCCGGAAUUACUGGGCGUAAAGAGCUCGUAGGUGGUUUGUCGCGUUGUUCGUGAAAUCUCACGGCUUAACUGUGAGCGUGCGGGCGAUACGGGCAGACUAGAGUACUGCAGGGGAGACUGGAAUUCCUGGUGUAGCGGUGGAAUGCGCAGAUAUCAGGAGGAACACCGGUGGCGAAGGCGGGUCUCUGGGCAGUAGCUGACGCUGAGGAGCGAAAGCGUGGGGAGCGAACAGG